CAGGAUGAACGCUAGCGGCAGGCUUAACACAUGCAAGUCGAGGGGCAUCGGGAGUAGCAAUACUUGCCGGCGACCGGCGCAAGGGUGCGUAACGCGUGAGCAACAUGCCCGUAUCAGGGGGAUAAUCCAUGGAAACGUGGUCUAAUACCCCAUAGUAAUUAUGUAAGGCAUCUUAUAUAAUUUAAAGCUUUGGUGGAUACGGAUUGGCUCGCGUGACAUUAGCUGGAUGGUAAGGUAACGGCUUACCAUGGCUACGAUGUCUAGGGGUUCUGAGAGGAAGGUCCCCCACACUGGAACUGAGACACGGUCCAGACUCCUACGGGAGGCAGCAGUGAGGAAUAUUGGACAAUGGAUGGAAAUCUGAUCCAGCCAUGCCGCGUGCAGGAAGACGGCCCUAUGGGUUGUAAACUGCUUUUGUAUGGGAGCAAUAAGGGCUACGUGUAGUCCGAUGAGAGUACCAUACGAAUAAGCACCGGCUAACUCCGUGCCAGCCGCGGC
rnacentral:rRNA from 1 species